GGAGAGAUGGCGGAAUGGUAGACGCUACGUAGCCUUUAGGCGAGGGUAUGACUCCCAUAUGUUCAGUACAGGUUCGAAUCCUGUUCUCUCCA
rnacentral:tRNA from 1 species